rnacentral:tRNA from 1 species
AGUUGCUCCUGGGGACAAUUUGUCUUGAAAACAAAUUUAAAGUGUUCAAUUCACUUAGCAACUU